CUCGCUCAUUAUAAGGCCCAGUGUUAUCUGCUUGGAUUCUUCUACCUGGAAUCAUAAGUCUUCUCUAUUCUUGUGUUUUUGUAUCAUGCACAUAAUAGUACCUCAUACUGCUCAGCAGGCUACACUCUGCUUUUUGUAAUAAAUCCCUUUGGAUAUUACAGCAUCCUGGUAGAGCCCCAAUAAAUCAGGUCCAAAUGCGACUGAGAAUUACUGUUUGUCUGUCUUGCACUGGUUAGCAUUGAUUUUACACUUAUCGCUCCUUCCUGUGGAAUACGAAGAGACGGAGCCGAGGAAGUGAUGUGACAAUGAACGAGGAUGACAGCGAUGUACUUAAAAAGAAAGCAGAUGUACAAUGGGUGUGUCUGCAGCUGGGAUUAUAUGGAUAACUUUCCACUCUUGGCCUCGAUGCUCGCCAAUCUACAGUCCGUUCACCUCCUUCUGGCUCAUUUCUGCUGGAAAUCCUCCAAAGUGACCGUACAAGGGGGAAUGAUAAUUGAAAUGCAUGACAGAAUAAUAUAAGGUCCUGUGUAACCUGUGCUGCUUUUAUUUGCCUCCCAGCUGGUUGUGUGUGACCCAAGUGUGUGUGCAUGUGUGUGAAAUACAGAAAGAGACAGAAGAAUCCAAUACAGAGAAAGAAAACCCGCGGGAGGUUUUCAGAAACUCUGCAGUAGGAAAUGUGUUGCAAGAUUUUUGUUUUGUUUUGUUUUGUUUCAUCCUGUGAUACAAAAAAUGUCUUUUUAUGACCUUU